rnacentral:lncRNA from 10 species
GCUGGUUCCCAUCUGGCAGGCUGUUUCAGAGUCAAUGGCCACUUAAUUCUUAGGAAACUUUGAAUUGUGUCAGUCAAUCAGCACCUUAAUAGGAGCAUUGCUGCUCCUUCUAGGAACAAAAAGGGGCUUAAAUAUGAAGACCUGAAAGGAGGCCAAUUUAUUUUGAAAGCUUCAAGAAUAUAAAUGAUUACCUGCAAGACCAGUUAACUGUGUACACCACACAGAGGAUAUUUCUAGUACCCAAUAUAACUCGUAAGUUUUAGGAGCAAUGUAAUAUAUUUCACCAGGAAUAAAGUUGGUUUUCUCAAACUCAUGUGUUGCCACAAGUCAAAUGCUUAUCUAUAAAAUAUGGUAGUUGUACUCUCUUUUUGGAUGUAUGGGAACAGAUGUAUUUUACCUUGGAUACUUUGCCUUGGGUGUGUUAAAGUUUUUCCUGUAGAGUUUUGUAAAAUUGGGAACCUAAUUGACAUAGUUUUAUUUCAAUACAGAUCGUUGUACCUUCACAUAGAAGUACUUACAUUAUAGAUUAUUAUUGAAAACAUCUAAACCUGAGUAUU